UCUAAAAUUCGAAAGUCGCUGGACCAGUAUUUCUCGUUUUUAUCGCCACUGGUCGGCCAUGACGGCUGCUCCUUGACAACAGUAAAUUACGUAAUCAUAGAUAAAGUCGGCAGGUACGUUCGCACCAGCCUUGCUUCUCUUGAUAAUGAUUUGUUACCAGCUGGCGCAGAUUUGACCGUCAUCUAAAACUAUAAUUAAAAUCAAUUCUUGUUAGGCAAUACUGAUACUAUUCUAUUACCACCUGCUUUUGUGUAGUCAACUUUGACAGCCUAUGGAAGAUAACAAAGACGGAAAAGACUCCUUGGGUGUUGGUCCUCAGCACACUUGCUUGAAUGAACCCUAAGGACCCCACAGCCCUCUUCCCUCUUGUUUCAAGUUGAUCCCUGUUGCUGUAAGAGAGGGGUCUAUCUCUGGUUUCACCGUCUGCCAAGGAGGAGAAGACAGAAGACGAUAAGGAAAAAUGGCGAACUUGUUUGAUGAGCGAUUCCCCAUUGUACGCAAAAAGUGGCGAACUCUCGACAACUGAACUGGGGUCUGUUGUCCGUGAUGAGAAUGGCUGGUACUCUAUGUACUCUGCAAAGAUUGACUUCAGAAUGCGUCCCAUCUUAUGCCUGGAACCACAUGCGAGACUGUUUUGAAUCAAGGUAUUGGCGAGGAUCUGCACAUUGAUAAUGUUGAUGAAAUUGCUUCACACAUGGAGGAUACAAGUCUGUGUGAUGUGUCUGCAGAGGAUUCACGUAUACCUGCAGGAAUUGUAUCGAGACUUGAACAUUCCCUCAGUCAUCAUGACUACUGUGGUUCUCAAACGUUGAUCAGUCUUUAUGUUAAUAAAUGUACCCAAACAUUUUAAGAACAUGUCACAUCAGUUGGAAGUCAGACAUUAGAUAAUGAAAGUAGCUAUUGUAAUGCAAGCACCCAAACAGUUGAAUCUGUUGGUAUUCAAGCUGACAGACCAACAUUGACCUAUGAGGAUAUCAGGUGCUCUAAUGAAAGUGUUAUGUUUUACACUGGAGUGUAUCAACAUUUGAAGCAUUGUUUGAUCCACAUCCGAUGGUGGGAGGCCACAUGUUAUGAGGCAAAUUGAUGAAUGUGGAAGCAAGGUGAUGCUAUUAUGGCAGAUAAAGGUUUUCUGAUCUCUGAUUUAACUACACCUAGAGGUAUUGACCUCAUUAUUCCCCCAUUUAAAACUAAAAAGCAACAACUGACUGUAACAAGAAAACUUGCCCAUUUUAGGAUUCAUGUUGAGCGCCAAAUGGAAAGAAUUAAGAACUUUCGCAUAUUACAAGGAACUAUUCCCAUCACAAUGGCUUCGCAGGUAACAAAAAUAUCGCAUAUAUGUGUAUUUUUGAGACAUUUGCAACCGCCUCCUGUCCUUAAAUGAUAUUCAUUCUCAUGAAAAUGUAAUAUGGACAGAUUAAUGAAAUAAUUGACUGAUGACAGUACUAGUAUGUUUGAAAAUGUGCCUUUGUUUAUAUUGUGCAGUACACCAGUUAGGAAAGCUCGUGAACAGUUAAGCCCACACAAAGGGAGAUAAUUUACUGAAACGACUUUGUAGUGCCUUGUGACAUGUUUUGAUUCAUGCUCUAUGUAUCCAUAUGUAAAUGCCAAAUAGUUAUUUUUCACAUAAUUUAUAUUCAUGCUUGUAAAACAUACUCUGAGCCUGAGGCCUAAAUACUGCAAUAAGGACUUGACUUAAAUUUGUUAGACUGAAUGGUCUAGAAAAUUCAACAGUAAUAACCAUGUUAAAUAUUAAACUGUAAUAAUAAUGUAUCUCUUGCUGUUCAACAGCAAUCCACAUUUUACCCAUAUUGCUGACAGUGAAUCAAUAUGGAU
rnacentral:lncRNA from 1 species